ensembl:lncRNA
GGGGGAGAGAGAUAGGAGGUGAAUCUCCAGAUGAUAAUGGAGAGAGAGAUAGGAGGAGGAGGAUCUACAGAUGAGGAGAAUGGAGAGAGAGAUAGGAGGAGGUGGAUCUACAGACGAGAAGGGGGAGAGAGAUAGGAGGUGAAUCUCCAGAUGAGAAUGGGGAGAGAGAUAGGAGGAGGUGGAUCUACAGAUGAUAAUGGAGAGAGAGAUAGGAGGAGGAGGAUCUACAGAUGAGGAGAAUGGAGAGAGAGAUAGGAGGAGGUGGAUCUACAGACGAGAAGGGGGAGAGAGAUAGGAGGUGAAUCUACAGAUGAUAAUGGAGAGAGAGAUAGGAGGAGGAGGAUCUACAGAUGAGGAG